CAUCCAUCUGCUGCAUUUUCAUGGCCUCAGCUCAACAGACUUCCACAGUCCUCCUGCACUGAAACGUGGCCCACAACAGUUGUGAGAAUUCAAUGAACACGCUGCCUUCUGUUAUGUGGCACAUAUGGGAAGAAAUCUAAUUCUCUGAGCAAAAUAAAGAAAUGCACUCAAAUGAAACGAACACUGGUUUCCAGUGUACUAUCAUACUGUUUCAACAGUAACUUAAACAGCACAAAAGGCAAUUUUGGAAAUGAACUACUGUAAUACAGUGUUUGGAGUUUUUAAAAUUCCUAAAUAGAGCAUAUUUCCAUCUUUCUGAAAAAAAAAAAUCAAUUGUUUUAUACUAAAACAACUGUAUCUGUGCACCCACUGUUUCUUGGUGAGAUGUGCUUGAUACCCAAACUUCUUAAGUCUUUCAGAUGAGACUCAGAGAUGGAUC
rnacentral:lncRNA from 1 species